rnacentral:rRNA from 1 species
GGAAUGUAAAAAAUUCUAACAACGUACCUUUUGCAUAAUGGGUCAGUAAGUUAAUAUCUAAUGCAAGUUGAAAGACCUAAAGAAUUUGAAUUUAAAGCAAGUGUAGAGUAUUAGGUAUUAGACCCGAAACCUAGUGAUCUUACCAUGAUCAGAUGCAAGAUCGAACUGGUGUGCGUUGCAAAGUACUCAGAAGAAUUGUGGUAAGGAGUGAAAUACAAAUCGGACUAGGAUAUAGCUGGUUUUCUGCGAAAUUUGUAUUAGCAAAGUGUUUAUGUAAUAAAUUAGUAGGUAUAGCACUGAAUAUUCAUUCAGAGGGAGUACGUAAGUAUUUAUCUCGGAUAUUUAAUCUCAGAAUGACUAAUUUAUAAGAUAAAUGGAUGGACUUUUUGCGAGAAGGUGGAAAGUCAAGAGGGAAACAGCCCAGAACAGAAUGAAAGCUCCCGAAUUAAAUUUGAGUGAAAGAAAGGAAGUGGUUUUUCAGAGACAGUCAAGAAGUGGGCUUGGAAACAGCCAUCUUUUAAAGAACACGUAAUAGUGCAAUGAUCUAUGAAAGAUUGCGCCAAAAAUACAGGAUCUAAAAUUUGUGCUUAAAUUCUGUCGUGAAGAAAUGAAUUGAAUUUCUUUAUGGGUAGCAGAACAUUUAGUAUCUAAAAGAAGAAUAAUCUUUGAUUGUUUGGAUAGAACUAAAGAGAGAAUGCUGACAUGAGUAACGUUAAAAUAGGUGAGAAAUCCUAUUCGCCGAAAUUGGCAGGUUUUUGUAGUAAAGCUUAACUGCUACAAGUGAAUCGGUCUCUAACAGUAACUCUAAGGAGUAAUGGAUGAGUAAGUAUAUAAAAAGUAAAAGAAGAGUAUAGCUCAGGAAAAAGUAUAUUGAUUAACCGUACUAAAACCGACACAGGUCUAAGGAUGCGUAAAGUAUUCAGGCGAAUGAGAGAAUUAUUGCGAAGGAACUCGGCAAAAUUAUUUCGUAAUUUUGAAAGAAGGAAUGACCUCUGAAUUGGGGGUCUCAAGAAAUGAGGUUGUACAACUGUUUACUUAAAACACAGUACUUUGCAAAGAUGAAAAUCGGAGUAUAAGGUAUGAGAUCUGCCCAAUGCUAAAAGAUGAACGAAGGGUGUAUGAGUAAUACUCCUGGAAAGAAGUCUUAGUGAAUGGCGGCCUUAACUAUAAGGGUCCUAAGGUAGCGAAAUUCCUUGGCCGUUAAAUGCGGUCCCGCAUGAAUGAUAGAAUGAUACAACAACUGUCUCCGCAAUAAACUCAGUGAAAUUGGAAUAGCCGUGCAGAUACGGUUUAUGUGUAGAAAGACGGGAAGACCCUAUGCAGCUUUACUGUAAUUUGUCAUGGAUAAGUCUUUUUAAAAAAGUGUAGAAUAGAAGGUAGUCGAUGAGACACAGAUGAAAUCCCUUUAUUUUCUAAGAAGAAAUCUGACUCUUUCUAUAGAGGACAGUGAUAGAUGGACAGUUUAUGUGGGGCGCAUAUCUCAAAAAGAGUAUCUGAGAUGUCCGAAGGUAAAGUAAAAUUGGAUGGUAACCAAUCAAUGUAAGGAAUUCUUGUUUCUUUAAAGUAUUUCUUUGAAGAAGUUGUUUUAUUGGGAAAAGUAUAAUGAUAGAACUUUGCUUAACAGUAAGACUGACAAGUCGAACUGACACGUAAGUGGGGCAUAGUGACCCUCGUUAACAAAAUGGAAUGUGACGAGCUCAACGGAUAAAAGCUACGCUAGGGAUAACAGGGUAAUUUCGUGUGAGAGAUCCUAUUGACCACGAAGUUUGCCACCUCGAUGUCGACUCAACCUAUCCUCCAGGAGUAGAAUAUUGGAAGGGUUCGGCUGUUCGCCG